rnacentral:lncRNA from 1 species
CAGAGAAGGGAUGCUCCGAGGUGCUGGAGCCCGGGUGCCUUGUUGUAUCCCCACCUCAAGCCGAAGGGGUUUGCGCCAGCUGAGUGCUCAGAUGGACGCAGCAGCAGCAGCAGGACUGAGCUCCAGAGCUCGUAGGCCCCUCCUGGAAGGCCAGCUGUUCACCCCUCUUCGCCACUCCAUUGGGCAGAUUCUGGAUGAAACCUUCCAGGUAGCCACGUGGGAAGCAGAUGCACUCACACUUCGCACUAACAGAGGCCUCGUGCACGCGGCUGUCAUGGAACUCCUCACAGGGCCUCUGACUCUCUCCCCAGCCAGGAGGCCUGAGAACAGAGCAAACUUCCAACUGGCCCUGACGUCAGCAGAGAGUCCCUGAGGCCUGGGGUUUGCCUGGGAGAGAGGAGCAUCACUUCCUGGAAGAAGACGGGAGGUUGAGGAAUCUGACCAAGGCCCCUCCACCGAGGGCAGCUGCUACCAAGACCCGAGGCUCUUAGUGAAAACUGAGGUGGCCUCCCUAGCACGGGAAGACGCAUCUCGCCCCUUUUUGAUCCCAUCCUGGGACUUAAGUUGAGUUGCCUGCAGGAAACAGCUCUGAGCAAACACCAAGGACCUCUUCUCACCUCGGGAGACAAGCCGACAGUUUUGCAAUAUGGUGAGUUUGUCCACAGAAGGAGAUAUAGCCUAUCCCCACUUGGGCAGCAGGCUUAUCUUGUCACGGUUUUAUUGCUCAGUUAUGAAUAAACUGCUUACAGUGAUCUUUGUGAGUUUCACA